rnacentral:lncRNA from 1 species
UGUGAACGAUACAAACAGACAUAAUAGGUGAAAAUGUCAAAUAUAGAGGUACAGUAGUUGACAUUGUGUUAUGAUCUUAAUCAUUAUAAAACAAACAAAUAUGCAACAAAGGAGCAUUAAAAGACAUAUACAAUUAAACAAAUCACAUUAGCAAAAACGAAAGACAUGUCGGAAAAUACGCGAAAUACAAACAUUACGCUAUGGCAACGUUGUUACCAUAACGCUAUACUGUGUGCCGUUAUAUUGUAUAUGCAUUAGCUAUCACGACGAUUAAACGUAAAGAAAACACAACGUUUUCAUUAAGAAUAUAAAAAUGUACAAUAUUAGUAGUACAAUGAAUAAUUUAUGAAUUAGAUGCAUUGAUUUAAAUAUUAUUAAAUGAUAUCUUCAAAAUGUAAGCUUAA